CCUACGGGUGGCAGCAGUGAGGAAUAUUGGUCAAUGGCCGGAAGUCUGAACCAGCCAAGCCGCGUGAAGGAUGACGGCCCUAUGGGUCGUAAACUUCUUUUGUGUGGGGAUAAAAGGCCGCACGUGUGCUGUUUUGUAGGUACCCUAUGAAUAAGGAUCGGCUAACUCCGUGCCAGCAGCCGCGGUAAUACGGAGGGUCCGGACGUUAUCCGGAUUUAUUGGGUUUAAAGGGUGCGUAGGCGGGAUGUUAAGGCAGUGGUGAAAUGUCGGGGCUCAACCCCGACAUGGCGGAUGAGACUGGCAGUCUUGAGUGCGGCGGAGGGGUGCGGAAUGCGUGGUGUAGCGGUGAAAUGCUUAGAUAUCACGAAGAACACCGAUUGCGAAGGCAGCAUGCGGGACCGCAACUGACGCUGAGGCACGAAAGCGCGGGGAUCGAACAGGAUUAGAUACCCUAGUAGUC
rnacentral:rRNA from 1 species